GACGAACGCUGGCGGCGUGCCUAAUACAUGCAAGUAGAACGCUGAAGGAGGAGCUUGCUUCUCUGGAUGAGUUGCGAACGGGUGAGUAACGCGUAGGUAACCUGCCUGGUAGCGGGGGAUAACUAUUGGAAACGAUAGCUAAUACCGCAUAAGAGUAGAUGUUGCAUGACAUUUGCUUAAAAGGUGCAAUUGCAUCACCACCAGAUGGACCUGCGUUGUAUUAGCUAGUUGGUGGGGUAACGGCUCACCAAGGCGACGAUACAUAGCCGACCUGAGAGGGUGAUCGGCCACACUGGGACUGAGACACGGCCCAGACUCCUACGGGAGGCAGCAGUAGGGAAUCUUCGGCAAUGGACGGAAGUCUGACCGAGCAACGCCGCGUGAGUGAAGAAGGUUUUCGGAUCGUAAAGCUCUGUUGUAAGAGAAGAACGAGUGUGAGAGUGGAAAGUUCACACUGUGACGGUAUCUUACCAGAAAGGGACGGCUAACUACGUGCCAGCAGCCGCGGUAAUACGUAGGUGGCAAGCGUUAUCCGGAUUUAUUGGGCGUAAAGAGAGUGCAGGCGGUUUUCUAAGUCUGAUGUGAAAGCCUUCGGCUUAACCGGAGAAGUGCAUCGGAAACUGGAUAACUUGAGUGCAGAAGAGGGUAGUGGAACUCCAUGUGUAGCGGUGGAAUGCGUAGAUAUAUGGAAGAACACCAGUGGCGAAGGCGGCUACCUGGUCUGCAACUGACGCUGAGACUCGAAAGCAUGGGUAGCGAACAGG
rnacentral:rRNA from 1 species